rnacentral:rRNA from 1 species
AGCGUACACGGUGGAUGCCCUGGCAGUCAGAGGCGAUGAAGGACGUGCUAAUCUGCGAAAAGCGCCGGCGAGGUGAUAUGAACCCUUGACCCGGCGAUGUCCGAAUGGGGAAACCCAGUGCAAUCCGUUGCACUAUCGUUAACUGAAUACAUAGGUUAACGAGGCGAACCGGGGGAACUGAAACAUCUAAGUACCCCGAGGAAAAGAAAUCAACCGAGAUUCCCCCAGUAGCGGCGAGCGAACGGGGAGCAGCCCGGAGUCUGAAUCAGCUUGUGUGUUAGUGGAACGGUCUGGAAAGUCCGACGGUACAGGGUGAUAGUCCCGUACACGAAAAUGCACAUGCUGUGAACUCGAAGAGUAGGGCGGGACACGUGGUAUCCUGUCUGAAUAUGGGGGGACCAUCCUCCAAGGCUAAAUACUCCUGACUGACCGAUAGUGAACCAGUACCGUGAGGGAAAGGCGAAAAGAACCCCGGCGAGGGGAGUGAAAAAGAACCUGAAACCGUGUACGUACAAGCAGUGGGAGCCUCUUUAUGGGGUGACUGCGUACCUUUUGUAUAAUGGGUCAGCGACUUAUAUUCUGUAGCAAGGUUAACCGUAUAGGGGAGCCGAAGGGAAACCGAGUCUUAACUGGGCGUUAAGUUGCAGGGUAUAGACCCGAAACCCGGUGAUCUAGCCAUGGGCAGGUUGAAGGUUGGGUAACACUAACUGGAGGACCGAACCGACUAAUGUUGAAAAAUUAGCGGAUGACCUGUGGCUGGGGGUGAAAGGCCAAUCAAACCGGGAGAUAGCUGGUUCUCCCCGAAAGCUAUUUAGGUAGCGCCUCGUGAACUCAUCUUCGGGGGUAGAGCACUGUUUCGGCUAGGGGGCCAUCCCGGCUUACCAACCCGAUGCAAACUACGAAUACCGAAGAAUGUUAUCACGGGAGACACACGGCGGGUGCUAACGUCCGUCGUGAAGAGGGAAACAACCCAGACCGCCAGCUAAGGUCCCAAAGUCAUGGUUAAGUGGGAAACGAUGUGGGAAGGCACAGACAGCCAGGAUGUUGGCUUAGAAGCAGCCAUCAUUUAAAGAAAGCGUAAUAGCUCACUGGUCGAGUCGGCCUGCGCGGAAGAUGUAACGGGGCUAAACCAUGCACCGAAGCUGCGGCAGCGACACUUAUGUGUUGUUGGGUAGGGGAGCGUUCUGUAAGCCGUUGAAGGUGUGCUGUGAGGCAUGCUGGAGGUAUCAGAAGUGCGAAUGCUGACAUAAGUAACGAUAAAGCGGGUGAAAAGCCCGCUCGCCGGAAGACCAAGGGUUCCUGUCCAACGUUAAUCGGGGCAGGGUGAGUCGACCCCUAAGGCGAGGCCGAAAGGCGUAGUCGAUGGGAAACAGGUUAAUAUUCCUGUACUUGGUGUUACUGCGAAGGGGGGACGGAGAAGGCUAUGUCAGCCGGGCGACGGUUGUCCCGGUUUAAGCAUGUAGGCGGAGGUUCCAGGUAAAUCCGGUACCUUGUUAACGCUGAGGUGUGAUGACGAGGCACUACGGUGCUGAAGUGAUAAAUGCCCUGCUUCCAGGAAAAGCCUCUAAGCAUCAGGUAACACGAAAUCGUACCCCAAACCGACACAGGUGGUCAGGUAGAGAAUACCAAGGCGCUUGAGAGAACUCGGGUGAAGGAACUAGGCAAAAUGGUGCCGUAACUUCGGGAGAAGGCACGCUGAUGUGUAGGUGAAGCCCCUGCGGGUGGAGCUGAAAUCAGUCGAAGAUACCAGCUGGCUGCAACUGUUUAUUAAAAACACAGCACUGUGCAAACACGAAAGUGGACGUAUACGGUGUGACGCCUGCCCGGUGCCGGAAGGUUAAUUGAUGGGGUUAGCGGCAACGCGAAGCUCUUGAUCGAAGCCCCGGUAAACGGCGGCCGUAACUAUAACGGUCCUAAGGUAGCGAAAUUCCUUGUCGGGUAAGUUCCGACCUGCACGAAUGGCGUAAUGAUGGCCAGGCUGUCUCCACCCGAGACUCAGUGAAAUUGAACUCGCUGUGAAGAUGCAGUGUACCCGCGGCAAGACGGAAAGACCCCGUGAACCUUUACUAUAGCUUGACACUGAACACUGGUCCUUGAUGUGUAGGAUAGGUGGGAGGCUUUGAAGCGUGGACGCCAGUCUGCGUGGAGCCAACCUUGAAAUACCACCCUUUAAUGGCUGGUGUUCUAACGUAGACCCGUAAUCCGGGUUGCGGACAGUGUCUGGUGGGUAGUUUGACUGGGGCGGUCUCCUCCCAAAGAGUAACGGAGGAGCACGAAGGUUGGCUAAUCCUGGUCGGACAUCAGGAGGUUAGUGCAAUGGCAUAAGCCAGCUUGACUGCGAGCGUGACGGCGCGAGCAGGUGCGAAAGCAGGUCAUAGUGAUCCGGUGGUUCUGAAUGGAAGGGCCAUCGCUCAACGGAUAAAAGGUACUCCGGGGAUAACAGGCUGAUACCGCCCAAGAGUUCAUAUCGACGGCGGUGUUUGGCACCUCGAUGUCGGCUCAUCACAUCCUGGGGCUGAAGUAGGUCCCAAGGGUAUGGCUGUUCGCCAUUUAAAGUGGUACGCGAGCUGGGUUUAGAACGUCGUGAGACAGUUCGGUCCCUAUCUGCCGUGGGCGCUGGAGAAUUGAGGGGGGCUGCUCCUAGUACGAGAGGACCGGAGUGGACGCAUCACUGGUGUUCGGGUUGUCAUGCCAAUGGCACUGCCCGGUAGCUAAAUGCGGAAGAGAUAAGUGCUGAAAGCAUCUAAGCACGAAACUUGCCCCGAGAUGAGUUCU